CAAACUACCCUAUGGAUGGGGAUAAUCUCGGGAAACUGACCAUAAUACCCAACAGAUCAUCAAUUCUGGAAUGGUUGAUGAUUCAAAUGAUUUUUCGCCAUAGGAUGGGACUGCGGCCUAUCAACUUGUUGGUGAGGUAAUGGCCCACCAAGGCAAUUACAGGUACGGGCUCUGAGAGGAGAAGCCCGGAGAUGGGUACUGAGACAAGGACCCAGGCCCUAUGGGGCGCAUCACGGGAGAAAACUUUGCAAUGUGCGAAAGCACGACAAGGUUAAUCCGAGUGAUUUCUGCUAAAGGAAUCUUUUACCAGUUCUAAAAAUACUGGCGAAUAAGGGGUGGGCAAGUUCUGGUGUCAGCCGCCGCGGUAAAACCAGCACCUCAAGUGGUCAGGAGGAUUAUUGGGCCUAAAGCAUCCGUAGCCGGCUCUGUAAGUUUUCGGUUAAAUCUAUAUGCUCAACGUAUAGGCUGCCGAAAAUACUGCACAG
rnacentral:rRNA from 1 species